ACACGCAUGACACACUGCAUAUCAAUAAGCGGAGGAAAAGAAACUAACAAGGACUCCCUAGUAACGGCGAGUGAAGCGGGAAGAGCUCAAAUUUGAAAUCUUAAAGGUUUCCCUUGACGAAUUGUAGUUUAUAGAAGUGUUUUCUGUAGUGGAGUUCGGCAAAAGUUCUUUGGAAUAGGACAUCAUAGAGGGUUAGAAUCCCGUAUUUGGUCAUUCCUCCUAGCGUUGUGAUACACUUUCAACGAGUCGGAUUGUUUGGGAAUGCAGUCCAAAAUGGGUGGUAAAUUUCAUCUAAAGCUAAAUACUGGCGAGAGACCGAUAGCGAACAAGUACCGUGAGGGAAAGAUGAAAAGAACUUUGAAAAGAGAGUUAAACAGUACGUGAAAUUGUCAAAAGGGAAGCGUUUGACACCAGUGUUGUUUUCUCGAAAAUCAAUUAAAAAAGGGCCGGACUUUGUGUUGUAUUGACCUUAAAAGCUUUCUUCACUCUUUUCUUGUCUUUUUUAAUGCACUUUUCGUUUAACAAGUCAACAUCAGUUUCUUUUGUUGUAAAAGGGUCAUUGGAAGGUGGCUUUCUUUUCGGAGAAAGUGUUUAUAGCCUUUGAUCUCUGCAACCGGAGAGACUGAGGUCUGCAGCGUAGACUCUUCGGGGUUAGAUACAUUUGUGCUAAGCUAUAGCUUUUUAUAGACAACUUGUUGACUAUAUUUAGUCUUGUGGCUUACUCGCUUAUGCUAUUUUACCUACGCUUAGGAUGUUGAGCGCAUGUCUCUCUCU
rnacentral:rRNA from 1 species